rnacentral:rRNA from 1 species
UACAGAGGGUGCGAGCGUUAAUCGGAAUUACUGGGCGUAAAGGGUGUGUAGGUGGAUAAGUAAGUUAGAUGUGAAAUCCCCGGACUUAACCUGGGAACUGCGUUUAAAACUGCAUAUCUAGAGUAAUGUAGAGGAUAGUGGAAUUUACGGUGUAGCGGUGAAAUGCGUAGAUAUCGUAAGGAAGACCAGUGGCGAAGGCGGGUCUCUGGACAGUUCCUGACGCUGAGGCGCGAAGGCCAGGGGAGCAAACGGG